GUCCACGCCCUAAACGAUGUCAACUAGCUGUUGGGGCCGUUAGGCCUUAGUAGCGCAGCUAACGCGUGAAGUUGACCGCCUGGGGAGUACGGUCGCAAGAUUAAAACUCAAAGGAAUUGACGGGGACCCGCACAAGCGGUGGAUGAUGUGGAUUAAUUCGAUGCAACGCGAAAAACCUUACCUACCCUUGACAUGUCUGGAAUCCCGAAGAGAUUUGGGAGUGCUCGCAAGAGAACCGGAACACAGGUGCUGCAUGGCUGUCGU
rnacentral:rRNA from 1 species